AUCUAUAGAAAAUUAAGAAACUUCUUUUGAAAUAAAUUAUUGGGAAUUUCAUCUUGUAACACUUGACAACGUAGCAUCAGUGUCUGUUCCAGCACGUGACAUGGCUUUCGCCUUAAUGAGUCAUUUUUGUUUUGGUUUUUUCAUCUCCGUUUUAUUUUCUUUGAAAUAGAGCGGAUUUCGGAAAAUGUCAAGCGAAACGAGCAAUAAAAAGUUUAAAAGAAUGUCCGAGUCAGAGCGAAUCGCCGAUUAUGAUCAUGCAACUCAGAAAAUUUUAGAAGAGAUGGAUGUGAUUCAGACUCAGCUAGAUAGUAUCAAGGAAAAGGCUUCAGAAGAAGUCCUACAGAUCGACAUCAAGUACAAUCGCAUCAGGAAGCCCCAUUUGGAUAAGCGCAGCCAGCUGAUUAGUAACAUUCCCAAUUUUUGGGCAACAGCUAUAAUGAACCAUCCAGAUAUUAGCAACCUCUUCAGUGGCCAGGAGGAAGAAGACUGUUUGCACCACCUGACGAAAAUCGAAAUUGAGGACUUUGACGAUAUCCUCUCAGGCUUUAUAAUCAAGUUUUAUUUUGACGAAAACCCUUACUUUGAAAACCCGGUUUUAACUAAGGAAUAUGUACUAGGAAACGAUUCCCCAUCUUCCAAAAGCACCCCAAUCAAUUGGAAAGAAGGGGUUCAGUUGGGGCAGGUUUCUCAAGAAGUCAACAAGACUAAUAGGAAGAGACGUUUGGAAUCUACUAGAACCAGUUUCUUCACAUGGUUUACUGAUAACGUGGAUCCAUGUACUGAUAAUAUUGCGGAAGAUUUUAAGGUACUUGAAGGUAUAACAACGCCAAAGCGAACUGGGUGUUUGAUUUCCGGCACUUUUUCAGGACGAUCUGUGGGAGAACCCAAUUCAGUAUUUCCUAGUAGCUGAUGGGCAGGAAGAAGAGAAUGGAGUGGAGGGUGAAGAAGAAACUUCAAGUGACGAGAAUGAAGACCCUGGAGAACCUGAUAACCAGUCUGGAUCCAGUGGUCAAGGGAACAGUAGCAGACCGGUUUAAGCGUUCAAUCAGCACCUUUCAUUUGCUCUAUUUAGUCUGUUUUAUUUGUAUCUUAACUGUUGUUUGGUGUGGCUGAAAAUGUAGAUUCUCCCACACAAACAAGCUGCGUUGGUGUUUCGACAUUGCAAAGGCAGCAACAGUAUUGAUUUUUUAAAUUCACUUUUACCAAAGAUAGUAGGAAACAUAUUUCUAUUUUUUUCGGAUGAUUGGCAUCUGUUACGUUCAAGUUUGGUUUCUUUAAAUAACAUACUUUAAUGUUUACCACUUCUCAUUAGAAUUUCAUGUAAAUACAUGUAGGUAAGGCAGUUUUUCGAUUAUUAUUUAAAGCGAUGUAUCGACGUGAAACUUUGUUCACGAUCAUGUUAAAUAUUUUUAAUAAAUGUUUUAAUAUUC